GCCCGGGUAGCUCAGUUGGUAGAGCAACUCCAUGGUAAGGAGUAGGUCGCCGGUUCAAUUCCGGCCCCGGGCUCCA
rnacentral:tRNA from 1 species